UACAGAGGGUGCGAGCGUUAAUCGGAAUUACUGGGCGUAAAGCGUGCGUAGGCGGUUCGUUAAGUCUGUUGUGAAAGCCCCGGGCUCAACCUGGGAAUGGCAAUGGAUACUGGCGAGCUAGAGUGUGUCAGAGGAUGGUGGAAUUCCCGGUGUAGCGGUGAAAUGCGUAGAGAUCGGGAGGAACACCUGUGGCGAAAGCGGCUCACUGGACCACAACUGACGCUGAUGCACGAAAGCUAGGGGGAGCAAACAGG
rnacentral:rRNA from 1 species